AAAAAACCCACGUCUAAAAAUCUAAAAAAUUUUCCAUUGAAUUCUCUGCUUUGAGUGUUGAAUUUUUCAAACACUAAAACAUUUUCUAACUAUCUCCAAGAUUGAGAUGGUUUGAAUUUGGAUUUUUGUUAGUUUUGGGUUGAAUUAUGUUAGGUAGUUACUGUUCCGUUGGUUUUCGUCGGCCAUUUUUGUUGUUUUACUGAGUCUGGAUGUUGAAUUCUGUUGUUGUUCUACUGUUGUGGGUCAUUGACCCUUACAUCUUGAUUUUUUCUCAAUUUCCAGGUAUUCCUUCAAACUACGACUGGAAAUGAUGCUCAAUUGAGCUGUAUGUGAAGCUUUGUAACUCAAAUAAAUGAAGUAUUGGUUCUUAA
rnacentral:lncRNA from 1 species